AGCGAACGCUGGCGGCGUGCUUAACACAUGCAAGUCGAGUGCGCGCCCGUAGCAAUACGGGUGGCGCACGGCGCACGGGUGCGUAACACGUGGGCAAUCUGCCCUCCGAUGGGGAAUAACCCCGCGAAAGCGGGGCUAAUACCGCAUAACAUUCCUUGGACCACGGUUCGAGGACUCAAAGGCGUAAGUCGUCGGAGGAG
rnacentral:rRNA from 1 species